CGUUUGCCGAACGAAUCGCUCCUGCUGGCCCCUCUGACUGACUCCUCCGGCUCAUCGUCUUCCGGAAAUGAAACCGGAAGUCCCAACCCUACGCAAGAGGAAAACGGAAAGCCGAAGGAGUCAAUCUAAGGAAGGGGAGACGCGCGUCAGGCUGAGAGCCUGGCGGCGUCUGACCGGGAAGGCCACCUGGCACUUCCAGCGGCUCCCCGAGCGGGUAACCCCCGGGCGAUCCCGCCUCCUCCCUCUCCAUCCCUCCUCACUCCACCCCUUCGCCCGCCCGCGUUAAUUGGUCUUCUGGCUAAUAACUGGGCGGAUUUCUGUCAUCCUUCUGAAUGUAAUCUAUCUGGAAAAUACUUCCUAUCUGGCUCCCAAACCACAGCAAGACCCAGGUAGCCACAUGGCUUGGGUUUGGGUAGAAAACGUGGACCCAUCAAUGAGAGCUGGGGAGACCCAUCAUGACCCGGGGAGGCAGAAAACCACGGCUCUGGACUCAGGCAUCCCAGGGUUGGAAUCUCCUAGAUUCAAUGACCUCAUUCGUCCUCCUCCUCUUCUCACCUGUUGGCAGCUGAACAAUUGACCAAGACACUGCAGGUCUCAGAGAUUCAGCAGGAAUGCAGAUCAGCAAAUACAUCUUCUUAUUUAGUGACUUGGUAAAACUGAUGUUCCAUUGCUCCGAAAUGGUUAUAUUUUACAACCAACUUUUGUUAAUUGACUACUAUGAACACCCUUUUUAAAAUAUAAAUUGGCGUCAGAAACCUCGUGUACAGUUAGUCCUUGGGACCUCUGCCAAAUACAUCAGGUAGGUCCACGGAAUCCGAAAACCUCACAAGAUUCAACCAAAUCUGGCGAGCAUGGACUGUGCUUAAAUAGUGACGAGUACCAAACACCUGCGAAUAUUUAACCAAGAGGACUUGAUGUUGUCCAGCACCAGAGAAGAAGUGGCUCCUUAUGGAUGCCUCAGCGAGGCUGAUGCCACAGGUGGGUCCCGUUUCUGUGACAAGAGGCAGGGUAAGCUGGCCCCAUGAUCCAGCCGUUUUAGACAUGACGCAGCAAGCUUUAAAACUGACAUUUCAAGCACCCACAAAGAGAUGGAAUGUGUGGCACUUUGUUUUUAUUUGGAAUCAUAAGAGAAACAUUUUUAAUAAACCCUUAAAUUCUUCUCCAUUAAUGCUAUUUAAAUAGUGAAUUCAUAAAGACUGAAGUGAUUUGUUUACUUAUACUUAGCUGUAGAAAACUUACAUGCUUUUGUUUAUUUGUUUACACCAUCAAAUCCAAUCGAGCCAAACAAGAUGGUCGACUGACAUGACUGAUGAAUGCAACCUGAGCUGACAGCUUUAAAUUUGGGAUGUGUUACUGAUGUCAGGUUGAUCAGUUCUCUGUCUAAAAUUGAUGCUAUUUAAAGCUUUGAACAAUUUAGAUGUAGUCACUGAGUAAAAUCCCAACGGGGUGAGAGAAAUUCCAUCAGGGCUGAUUCUGCUGUGGUGAAUUUCCAUGUGCGCAGGUGUCAGAGGGAGAGUGGCCUCUACCGAUGGGGUAGUGAGACAGAACAGGAUGCAGGAGGGGCGGUGGGCUGGCGUCACUCGCAGCAAAGGUAAAGAGGCUUAGAAUAAAGAUAGACGCAUCUUCUCACAAGGAAUCCCAAAUGGCAUAAGAGUGUGAAUAUUGGUCAUUUCUGUUUCAAAACUUUUCAAGAAAGGAAAAAGUGAAGGGGAGGCAAGAAGUUAAUAUGUAUCACGCUUCAAUAACUCAUCUGAAAAUGAACCCCCAGGGAAAUCAUGGUAGUCGGUGGGGUAGACCAAUGUUUUUAUUAACAAUAUAAAAGGAAUGUGUGGUGAAAGCAACGGUGACAUAAGUACUGACAGUCAGUGGAUGAAUGAUUAUGUGUCCUGAGCACCUCAGGACACAGCAAACUAGAGCAAUUCCACCAAUCAAAUGGCAAGAGAAGUCUAAUCGAAGAACCAUCCUUGUGCUGGAAGGGCAGAAUGAGUCCAGUCCGGGGACUACUGCGGCCAGACUUGGGGAAAUCAAGUUGUUGAAGGUAGCUGUGACUUUAGAGAGGUGUGCAACAGAGACAUUAAGCCAUUUCCAGUGUCUCUACCUUUAAAAUAGUUUAUUACUGGUCCAAAUGUCCAAAGACAUAUUAAAGAGGGAAAAUAUUAUUUACUGGACAGAAAUUCUCUGGAUAUUUAGAUUCUAUUCCUGUCCAGGGGUGUGAGAGAGGGGAUAUGUCAGCAGCUCAGAUGUAAGCUGGAAGGUUCCCGUCAUUGUUAAUGCAGCUUAGCCAUCUCUAGGAAAAAGGCAGCAAAUAAUUGGGAUCCCUCUAUGUAGUUCCACCUAACAGAAGAAGAAAUAAAGAGAAACUGUUAUUUCCAUUCAAAUAAUGGAGGAAAAGUAGUCUACAAUUUAAACAGGAAGAUUUGAUGACAUAAAUUCAAUCUAAAAUAUGCAGCAUGUCGGAAGGUUACUGAUGUGGACACCCUGUGGUUUGCACACUGAGAGAUCAGCCCCCUCAAGAACCUGCUAACAGUUGAUUUUCUCCUUCUGCGCGUGCUCUCCAUCGUCCACAGUGCCCAGCGGGAGCAUCAUCACACUCUUUUGGAUAACAUCCUGGAAUAUAUUGGCAAUUGGUAUGGUUGAUCCAUCCCGGAUCAUAUCUGGUUCUGUUCCAAACACUGAAACACAGGAAAAGAAGGCAUUGAAUAAAUUAAUGACAAGACUACCCCCAGUGAUCUCCGCAAAUGUGUUCACUUUAUCUUUCUUUCUUUUUUUUUUUCCCAUCAUUAAAUUUGGUGGCUGGGAUAAGUAAGCGUCUUGAUAUCAUGCAAUUUAUAUUCUAAAAUAGUCAAUAGAGUCAAGAAGAAAACUGUGGUUGCCUUAUUUACUAUUAUCUACUUUUAAAAAAUAUUUUUAAAUAAUAUUUUAAACUAACGUUAGACUUACAGAAAAGUUGCAAAAGUAGUACAGAGAGAGUUCUCAUAUAUUCCUUACUCUGCUUUCCCUAAUGUUAACAUCUUAUAUAACUAUUGUACAAUUAUCAAGAAUAAGAAAUUAACAUUGGAUAAUAUUAUUAACUAGACUCAGCCUUUAUUUGAAUUUCACUCUUUCCCUUCUGCUGUACCAGGAUCCAAUGCAGAAUCCCACACUGCAUUUGUCAUUGCUCCUUAGUCUCCUCUUGUCUGUGACUGUUUCUCAGUCUUCCCUUGUCUUUCAUGACCUUGACCCUGCUGAAGAGUACUGAUCAGUUGUUUUGUAAAAUGUCCCUCAGUUUGGGUUUAUCUGACGUUUUUUCACGAUUGGAAGAGGUCACGUGUUUUUGGCCAGAGUACCACAAGAAGAUGUACCUACCUACUUUUAUGGUUGCUUCACGAAUUAAGUAUUAGAAACACUAAUAUUAAAUAUUAGGAACACAUUUCUUUGGUGUUUUGUGUUUCUUUUGUAACCAACAUAUGAAUAAAUCGCUGUACUCAACUUUCA